rnacentral:rRNA from 1 species
AACGAACGCUGGCGGCAUGCCUAACACAUGCAAGUCGAACGAGACCUUCGGGUCUAGUGGCGCACGGGUGCGUAACGCGUGAGAACCUGCCCUUAGGUUCGGAAUAACUCCCCGAAAGGGGUGCUAAUACCGGAUAAUGUCUUCGGACCAAAGAUUUAUCGCCUUUGGAUGGGCCCGCGUUGGAUUAGCUAGUUGGUAGGGUAAAAGCCUACCAAGGCGACGAUCCAUAGCUGGUCUGAGAGGAUGAUCAGCCACACUGGGACUGAGACACGGCCCAGACUCCUACGGGAGGCAGCAGUGGGGAAUAUUGGACAAUGGGCGAAAGCCUGAUCCAGCAAUGCCGCGUGAGUGAUGAAGGCCUUAGGGUUGUAAAGCUCUUUUAACCGGGAUGAUAAUGACAGUACCGGGAGAAUAAGCUCCGGCUAACUCCGUG